GACAAUGGAUGCAAUACAAACUAGAUAUGGUCACAAAAUUAUUAAAUAAAAACAAUCAAUUUUGUGUCUUUAGUUUGUAAUUAAUUUUAUCUAAGCUGAUGUGUUGAAUGUGCUUGUUAUUGCAGCAUUAGAAGAUCAUCAAAAAAAUCAAGAAUAUAUGGUACCGAUUUCUGUUGAUCCUGAGAAGACAACAACAACAAUAGUUGAUGCCAUGCAAGCUAGAGAUGAUGGCCAACAAAACUCUCAAAAAAACAUGCAACCAUUUUCUAUUGAUCUUAAUCAAAUGAUGACAAUAAUGGACACAAUGCAAAGCGGAAACGGUGUUGAUGAUAUUCAUAUGGAGGAUCAUGAUCAACACUUUUUUGGUUAAUCACUAUAGUGUAUUAUUCUCCAAUGUAUUAAUCGUUAAGUACUUUAACUCUAUUUUAAAAUUAGAGCUUGGAGG